GGAUGUAUAACGCACACUCUUUAAGUAGAACAAAAAACUAAAUAUUUAUAUAACAUUUUUAUAUCAAUCAAUAUAUAAAAAUACUACAUUUCCAAUACUAAAUCAACAACCCUAUGCACACAUAUUACCUUCAGUUCACAUUCAGCAUCCAAUGGAUAUUACCUUGAAAAAGAAUACAGCGAAGUAGUUCAGAGCUUUUUAGAAAGCUAAAACUUAUAAUUUUCUUAAUUUUCAAAGUGUAUAUCACUGAUGCGUUUUGUUUUAAUCUGUGUCAAAAAAGCGUUUACCAGAACGUAAUAGGUGUUUGCA
rnacentral:lncRNA from 1 species